rnacentral:lncRNA from 10 species
CUUCACUUAGGGCAUGAGCAAGAUUAAUUUUUUCAGCAAAGAAGGCUCCAACAUGGCUGAAUAGUGUCAUUUUGUACUCAUCUGCUCCACUAAGAAGAACCAAAAGAGUGGGUAUUUAAUCAACUUUGGAUAGAUUAUCCAGGAGAGAAUACUGGAAUUCAACAGAAAGGUGACAGGAAAUACCUAAAGCAAGGAAGAAGAUGGAAGUGAGGCAGCCUGCUUGACUGGGAUCAGCUGGGAGCUGAGAGGCUCCCCAAUAUGGGGAAAGGGAAUCAGCUGGCUGGAGGAAUUUUGGAAGGGGUGAGGCAUACACUUUCUUCUAUGUUCCUGAAACCACAACAUUGUUAGGACUCAUCUGUUCAUGAGACCAGACCAAUAGAAAAUGAGCACUUCGUGGAUAAAAAAUACAGAUGGAAACUUAGUGAAAUGUGACCUCCAGUGCUGGAGAUGGACCUAAUGGGAAGUGUUUGAGUCAUGAGAGAAUAUCCUUUAUGAAUGGCUUGGUGCCUUCCCUGUGGCCAUGAGUUACUACAAGAUCUGAUUGUUAAAAAAAGAUUCUAGGACUUCCUGUCCCUCUGUCUUACUCCUCUUUUACCAUGUGACAUGCCUGCUUCCCCUUCACCUUCUGUCAUGAUUGUAAGCUUCCUGAGGUUCCCAUCAGAAGCAGAGUAGUUGCUGGUGUCAUGCUUGUACAGCCCAUGGAGCUGUGAACCAAAUAAACUUCUUUUCUUUAUAAAUUACCUAGCCUCAGGUAUUCCUUUAUAGGAUGUAAAACAGACUGUUUUGUGUAUUGUUUGCUACAAAAUAACUGUAUAUCAAACUACCUCAUAUCUCAGAGGUUUAAAAAUCAUUUUAUUGUUACCCACUUUGUGGGUCUGGUAAUGUUUGUCUGGAUAAUUCGUAUGAUUUACCUGUGUCGUUUCCAAAAGACUUCAUUUUCAAGAUGUCAUCCUAAUUCACAUAUUUGUCACUUUGGUGAGACCUCUUCACGUGGCCUCAACUUCUUACAGCAUGGCAGCCUAAGGGUAGCUGACCUUCUUAUAUAGUGACUCAGAGCUCCAUGCAACUAAGAAAAAGGCUGGUAGUUGUUUUAAAGCCUGGCCUCAGAACCAGAAUGGCAUGAUUUCCUUCAUACUUUAUUGGUCAAACCAGUCAUAGGCCAGCCCAGAUUCAACAAGAAGGAAGUAGAGUCCAUCUCUCUAUAGGAAGAGUAUCAAUUUGCAACCAUCUUUAGUCUGUCUUGUUCCAUUCAGAGAAUUAGUCUCAGUAUCUUGGCAAAAUAGUAGAAUAAUAACAACAGCUAACUUUCAUUGAG